rnacentral:rRNA from 1 species
CCUACGGGGGGCAGCAGUGGGGAAUAUUGCACAAUGGGGGGAACCCUGAUGUAGCGACGCCGCGUGAGUGAAGAAGUAUCUCGGUAUGUAAAGCUCUAUCAGCAGGGAAGAAGAUGACGGUACCUGACUAAGAAGCCCCGGCUAACUACGUGCCAGCAGCCGCGGUAAUACGUAGGGGGCAAGCGUUAUCCGGAUUUACUGGGUGUAAAGGGAGCGUAGACGGCAGGGCAAGUCUGGAGUGAAAGCCCGGGGCUCAACCCCGGGACUGCUUUGGAAACUGCCAUGCUGGAGUGCUGGAGAGGUAGGCGGAAUUCCUGGUGUAGCGGUGAAAUGCGUAGAUAUUAGGAGGAACACCAGUGGCGAAGGCGGCUUGCUGGACAGUAACUGACGUUGAGGCUCGAAAGCGUGGGGAGCAAACAGGAUUAGAUACCCCUGUAGUC